CCCUCCGGGGGGCAGCAGUGGGGAAUAUUGCACAAUGGGGGAAACCCUGAUGCAGCAACUCCUCUUUCUUUCUGCCGGCCUUCGGGUUGUAAAGCUCUGUCUUCAGGGACGAUAAUGACGGUACCUGAGGAGGAAGCCACGGCUAACUACGUGCCAGCAGCCGCGGUAAUACGUAGGUGGCGAGCGUUGUCCGGAUUUACUGGGCGUAAAGGGAGCGUAGGCGGACUUUUAAGUGAGAUGUGAAAUACUCGGGCUCAACUUGAGUGCUGCAUUUCAAACUGGAAGUCUAGAGUGCAGGAGAGGAG
rnacentral:rRNA from 1 species